GACGAACGCUGGCGGCGUGCUUAACACAUGCAAGUCGAACGGAAAGGCCCUGCUUUUGUGGGGUGCUCGAGUGGCGAACGGGUGAGUAACACGUGAGUAACCUGCCCUUGACUUUGGGAUAACUUCAGGAAACUGGGGCUAAUACCGGAUAGGAGCUCCUGCUGCAUGGUGGGGGUUGGAAAGUUUCGGCGGUUGGGGAUGGACUCGCGGCUUAUCAGCUUGUUGGUGGGGUAGUGGCUUACCAAGGCUUUGACGGGUAGCCGGCCUGAGAGGGUGACCGGCCACCUUGGGACUGAGAUACGGCCCCGACUCCUACGGGAGGCAGCAGUGGGGAAUAUUGCACAAUGGGCGGAAGCCUGAUGCAGCAACGCCGCGUGCGGGAUGACGGCCUUCGGGUUGUAAACCGCUUUCGCCUGUGACGAAGCGUGAGUGACGGUAAUGGGUAAAGAAGCACCGGCUAACUACGUG
rnacentral:rRNA from 1 species